AAGCACUGAAGAGUUUGCUUCCACAUAGUCAUAAUAAGCCUAUCUGCUCAAGGAGCACCAAAUAUAUCUUUUUCUAGACAGCACACACAUUAAGGAAGAUAUUCAAUGUGGUGAAAGAAAAAUAAAUCCAAGGUUAAAAACAGAAUCUUCUUGUAUGCACUUGCAACUCUGACAGUAACCAGAUGAUCUCAAAUGACUCAGAUUAUGAAGUGGUUUUAAAAGAAAAAUGGGGAAGAAGACCAAAGUAAGGUGGGGAGCCAGGAGCUUGAACCGGGAUCCUUGUGCCAUUCCUUGUGCUUUGUGCCACGUGUGCUUGACCCGCUGAGCUACCGCCCGACUUCCCAGUCAGUUUGAUUUCAUGAUAGCAUCUGCAACUUAGUGGUUGAAAAGCAUAAAGAUACAAAGCAGAACAAAUUAAUAAUCAGGAAC